rnacentral:rRNA from 1 species
GACGAACGCUGGCGGCGUGCUUAACACAUGCAAGUCGAACGGGUGGCGAACGGGUGAGUAAUACGUGGGUAACCUGCCCUCUUUUUGGGAUAGGGGUUGGAAACGGGGACUAAUACAUAAUAUUUGGGGAUGGGCUCGCGGCUUAUCAGGGUGUUGGUGGGGUGUUGGCUUACCACGGAGGUGACGGGUGGCCGGCCUGAGACGGUGACCGGCCAUAUUGGGACGGAGAGACAGCCUAGGAUCCUAACGGGGGCAGCACUUGGGGAGAUUGCAGCAGUGGCGAAAGCUGGAUGCAGCGACGAAGCCUGGGGGAUGAAGGCUUUGGGGUUGUAAACGUCUUUCGCUAUCAAACGGGUAGCUGGAGAAGAAGCGCCGGCUAACUACGUGCCAGCAGCCGCGGUAAUUC